rnacentral:lncRNA from 1 species
UAAUUAAUUUUAGAUUAGAUCUAAUUUAAUUAAGACUUGAAUGGAUCAAAAAUUUAAGUUAGACUUGGAUCAGAAUCUUAAUUAGAUUAGAAUUGACAAGCUCUUCGAGUCUGAUUAGAAUUGGGUUCAAAUCGGAUGCAAUUUGAGUUAAAUCUUAGUCCAUUUGGUUAAGAACCAAAGAGUCCAUGAAACCAGAGACUUUCUCUCAUAUUGACCGACCAUAGA